rnacentral:lncRNA from 1 species
AAAACAUUAAUACACAACACUAACGAAUAAUUAUGUAAUACUAAUAUUACGUUAGUCGUUUUUAUGACAUUCUCGUUGAUACGUUUUUAUGAAGCGUCUGUUACGUAUAAUAAUUUUAUUUCCUUCUACAUUAACAAAGUUGGAUCUUCCAUCUUCCCGAUUGCUUGUUAUUACUCCACGUGUGUCCCACAUCUUUGCCUUCGUAUUUUGGAUCUUAAAGUUAUCUUCAGGAAUGAGAGGGUUUCGAUUUGUAGAGGUAUGAUCGUAAUAUUUCUUCUCUCUCUCCCCCUCAAUAUUAGGUGACUGGCAAAUUUAGACCAUUGAAAAUGCUGGGAUCCAAGUUCUUUAUGAGUAACCAAAUACCCUUUGAGGAUCAUCUUCAUAGAUUUGACGGCAGCCUCUGUAUUCCUGUUGGAUUGGAGUGAGCAUGUGGAUGCGGGAUCAUUCUUUGCAGAAAAUCCAGAAUUCCGUUUGGAAUGGUGGUCUACCGUCCGUUUGAAUAUCCAUUGGAAGCCCACAAUCUUUAAACAACGUCAACAUGAUAUCAAUGACUGACGUAGUUGAAGUCAUUAGUAACUAACAUAUGAGGGGCCACCGGGAAUAGCGGUCCACGACGACAAUAUAUGUUUACCUGUUGAUCUCCAUCAGGUCAGAAGAGAUAGAUUCAAAUUUCCUUGUGGCUCCAGAUUGUUGGAGUGAUUAUGGAGGAUAUAUCCCUGUCGUUGAUAGGAGAUCGUUUUUGGAGACCAUGCCAAGACACAAUUAAUUUAUUGUUCAGAUCAGGAGUAACGUAUACCGUGAUAUCUGUAUCGGAGACUUCUCAAAUUUUGAUAUGAAGGCAUACGGCACCCAUACAUCUCAAGCUUAAACUGUUUGCUGCUGUGAUGGAUUGUCUUUUAGUUGAGUCUAUUUGGAUGUUGUACUCCAAACCAAGUCGGGUGAAAUAAGAAACUCAGUAGCGCCUGUAUCAGAGAGAACCUUCAUGGUAAAUGGCUUAUGGUUUAUGUUGCCAUACAUUGGAUAAACUUUAGCCUCGAGAUAUGGAGUGACGUGAUGAGUGGAUAAAGUUUUUACACGGAUUAUUGACGUUUUGAUUGGUUUGGCUUUGAUCUGCAAUGGAAAUUUAGCAUCAUGUAAACAUCUUUUCUCUAAAUGACCCUUCUUUUUCCAUUUUUUACACGUCUUAUUAUAUGAAAGACAUUAAAAAGUCGAUGUGAUGUAUUUCAGUCGCCACAUUUAUAGCACUUA